rnacentral:rRNA from 1 species
AGUCAAUAGAUACCCAGGUAGUCCACGCCGUAAACGAUGUCGACUUGGAGGUUGUGCCCUUGAGGCGUGGCUUCCGGAGCUAAACGCGUUAAGUCGACCGCCUGGGGAGUACGGCCGCAAGGUUAAAACUCAAAUGAAUUGACGGGGGCCCGCACAAGCGGUGGAGCAUGUGGUUUAAUUCGAUGCAACGCGAAGAACCUUACCUACUCUUGACAUCCAGAGAACUUAGCAGAGAUGCUUUGGUGCCUUCGGGAACUCUGAGACAGGUGCUGCAUGGCUGUCGUCAGCUCGUGUUGUGAAAUGUUGGGUUAAGUCCCGCAACGAGCGCAACCCUUAUCCUUUGUUGCCAGCGGUUAGGCCGGGAACUCAAAGGAGACUGCCAGUGAUAAACUGGAGGAAGGUGGGGAUGACGUCAAGUCAUCAUGGCCCUUACGAGUAGGGCUAC